AGCGAACGCUGGCGGCAGGCUUAACACAUGCAAGUCGAGCGGGCCCUUCGGGGUCAGCGGCAGACGGGUGAGUAACACGUGGGAACGUACCCUUUGGUUCGGAAUAACGCUGGGAAACUAGCGCUAAUACCGGAUACGCCCUUUUGGGGAAAGGCUUGCUGCCGAAGGAUCGGCCCGCGUCUGAUUAGCUAGUUGGUGGGGUAAUGGCCUACCAAGGCGACGAUCAGUAGCUGGUCUGAGAGGAUGAUCAGCCACACUGGGACUGAGACACGGCCCAGACUCCUACGGGAGGCAGCAGUGGGGAAUAUUGGACAAUGGGCGCAAGCCUGAUCCAGCCAUGCCGCGUGAGUGAUGAAGGCCUUAGGGUUGUAAAGCUCUUUUGUCCGGGACGAUAACGACGGUACCGGAAGAAUAAGCCCCGGCUAACUUCGUG
rnacentral:rRNA from 1 species